rnacentral:rRNA from 1 species
AUGAACGCUGGCGGCGUGCCUAAUACAUGCAAGUCGCGCGAACAGACGAGGAGCUUGCUCCUCUGACGUUAGCGGCGGACGGGUGAGUAACACGUGGAUAACCUACCUAUAAGACUGGGAUAACUUCGGGAAACCGGAGCUAAUACCGGACAAUAUAUUGAACCGCAUGGUUCAAUAGUGAAAGACGGUUUUGCUGUCACUUAUAGAUGGAUCCGCGCUGCAUUAGCUAGUUGGUAAGGUAACGGCCUACCAAGGCGACGAUGCAUAGCCGACCUGGGAGGAGGAAGAACCAAGCUAGAACUGUAGGGCAGACCAGACGCGGAAGGGGCGCGAAAGUGGGGAAUAGAGGACAAAGUGCGAAAGAAUAGUACAGAGAGGCCACGAAAGUGAAGAAGGACUUCGGAUCGUAAAGCGGUUUAACAGCGGAAGAACAAGAGAGUAAUAAACGCUCGCCGACAUGGCGGUAAAGAGAAAAGAAGCCACGGACAAAUUCGUG